rnacentral:rRNA from 1 species
UGGGGAAUUUUGCACAAUGGGGGAAACCCUGAUGCAGCGACGCCGCGUGAUUUAGAAGGCCUUCGGGUUGUAAAAAUCUUUUGUAUAGGAAGAAAAUGACAGUACUAUACGAAUAAGGACCGGCUAAUUACGUGCCAGCAGCCGCGGUAAUACGUAAGGUCCGAGCGUUGUCCGGAAUCAUUGGGCGUAAAGGGUACGUAGGCGGUUAGAAAAGUCUGAAGUGAAAGGCAGUGGCUCAACCAUUGUAGGCUUUGGAAACUGUUUAACUUGAGUGCAGAAGGGGAGAGUGGAAUUCCAUGUGUAGCGGUGAAAUGCGUAGAUAUAUGGAGGAACACCAGUGGCGAAGGCGACUCUCUGGUCUGUAACUGACGCUGAGGCUCGAAAGCGUGGGUAGCAAACAGG